UCUUCACUGCAUUUGCAAGAAUUUUUUAAUGGGCUACUUGAAAAAAUAAACUCAUCAAGUUGCCUAGUCAAAUGCAAUAGACAGUCCAUUUUUACUCUGAUAGCCUAUCUUGACCUUUCCUCAUGUGGACACAUAGGGGCUGUGAUCCUGCACAACAAAACAUGCAAGAAUUAAAUCCCCACACUAGCAAGGAUAGUAGCGGUGCAACGGGUUGCAGAAGCAUGGUAUGGAUCCCUUCCACACAGUGCGGCAUGCAGGUGGACCACUGAUUGAUUACAAAGUUUAUGAUUUAUCCUGUUUGACCUCUCAAAAUAUCCUUUAUUCUGGAAAUGUCAGAGAACCCAGUUAGAUUCUGAAUGUGCAGAACUUUGAUCGUGAGCAGAAAACUUGCUGAUACACAGGAGCUAUUAAAGUCCAGGAGUUUAUAACUGAAUUAAAAUGAUUUAAUUUAUCAUUGAUGAGGUAAAAUGGUGCAUUUAAAUGCAUUUAAAUGCAUUUAAAGAGGUUACCUCAAUCAGUCACGCCUGCCUGUGUGUUGAUUCAGCAUUGAUAAUAUUAAAUGAAUUUAGAGAAAAUAUAGAUCUGUGAACAAUCUUUUCCCAGGCACCCAGCUUCAAGGUCCUCAUAACACAAGACGUAAACAAACCUCCCAAUUUAAAACAAAAGAGAAAGUUAAUUCUAAAUUUAAAAGAAAAAAACCCUAAAAGGUUCAUUCUUUUUUACAUUCUGGGAAUUAAGGAUUAUUUAAACACUACGUAAAAUGGGUUCAAAUAACAGUAAAAAGGAACAAUACCCUUCAAUAAUGAAUACUCCUAAUAUUAAUUACAUGAUUAACAACCAUGGUAAUCGAAGCACUGACCAACUGGACAUUUGGGUAAAAGAGUGUGUCUUCACAGCAACAGGCAGCUUUCAGUCUCAGACAAUCAGAAAAUUUAAAGAGUAAGUUAGAAAGACAAUGAAAAGAGAAAACCUAGAACAGACUGGACAGAAGAUUGUUUAAAGGAAGCACUUCUCAGGGGCAGGGAAAAAGGCAGGGACAGCAUCUCUUAACAUUUCUGCAUCUCAGUUUGUCAAACCAGGUCCUGAUCUGGAGCCGGUCCACCCUCCCAGACGACAGCACCAGCCUGUAUCAGUAUCACUGCUACUACCAGCAACACAGACAGCAACAGCUGUCAGCGCAAAAACUAUAGCUAGAAAGCAGAAAGCCAAUGCUGUUCUGAAAAUUGACGCUCAACUCGACACCCUGGGUGAGGCGACAGGAGAAAGGGCAGGGGGACCACUCUCACUCUCACUCCUCCACCGUACAAAGAACAAUAUUUUCCUCGGAUCCAAAAUGGAGGUGAAGGAUUUGCCUCACUGCUACAGAGAAUAAAAGCAGAUUUUUCGGCAGCAGACUCACAGAAAUCCACAGCACACACAGGCUCACAAGAACUGGGAGCAAUGGGAGGAACAAACCCCCCGAGAAGCCCACCUGAGAAACUGUGUCAUCAAUGGCACCAAGUCCGAAGUCAGUGACGUGGUGAAACACAACUUUGUUGACAUUGUGUAACACAGUGUGUGACCUGGGGUUCUGGAAAUCUUGAGACUGUUGAAAAAACUGAAGCUGUUUAAAAUUCCUCAAAUGACAAAACAAAGAGGAUAAACACACAGCUACAGACAGGCUGCCAACGGCACAGCUGAUGGUGUACGAGGACCAAUACUGAGGAAGAGGAAGGGGUCGUGGUUGAAGAGGCAGAGGAAGAGGACAUGGCAUGUCUGAUGCUUGUUUGAAAACAAAAAACAAAAAACAUUACUGGACAAUGGGCUAGCGAUUGUCCGGAGAAUGAAAAUGAUCAAAUGGCUGAUUGACUGGAGUGGGGGGAGGACCGAGGCCGGAGAAGGGACGGACGGGUUCGGACACAGGAGCUGAGAUGACAGAACAAUCUAUACAUAAAUCACAUGAAGGACAGCCUCAUGAUUGUGUUGCAGUCGUAACAGAAGCCUGCUCCCCAAGGGCAGACUUACAGGAGACUCCUCUCCAUUUCCACACUCACUACGCCCACUAUUAUGUGCCUCACAGAGCUCAAACACCAGAGUUCCACAAGUGGAGAAAGGCAAUGGUGGCUUCCUCCCCUGGUGGGGGACUGUGAACAAUGCACAUAAGAUAGAUGAACUAUUGAACUGCUAUUGAAAUGGAAAACCUGACAGCCCUUGUGGAAGUGGGUUUUUCCAACCUCACACCCACUGUGCAGGGCCUCAGAAAUGUGGCUCUGUAGAACAGAAUGGCACUGGACCUGAUGCUGGCGACUCAAGGCGGAGUUUGCCACAUAAUUGGAACGGACUGUUGUACAUACAUCCCAGAUGUCUCAGACAGUAUGACUCAUGCUGUCUCACACCUGAAUGAUCUACUGCACGAGGAGAAGAGUCAGGACUCAAAGAACAUUGGGGGAUGGGACAUGUGAUACUGGGAAAAAAAUGAUGACACCACUGUUCAUUAUUAUGGGAGCUUUCCUCCUCCUGACAUGUUGUGAUUCCUUGUGCUAAAUAUUUUUUUCAAAACCAUCUUUGCAAAUCACAUGAAGUGUAUUUGAAUUUCUGAGUUAAUUUUGAUAUUAAAGGGUCAUAUUCUUCACAUUUUCAAUUAGAAAUAAUUAUAAUAAUCCACUUUGAUUCCUGCAUGAUUGUUUCCUUACAUAUUUUUUACUUAUUGCUUAUUAUUUCUUAUUGUCUAUUUCUUAUAUUCUUACCUAAUCACCUAUUCUGCAAGUACUGCUAAGGUUACAUGAAAUGUUUGUAUUCUUAUGUUUGGUUAGCAUAAAAUGCUAAAAGGGAAUAAUGUAAUGGGAAUUCCAAACAUAUUGAAUGUAACCCUGGACUCAGGGAGACUCAUCUGUGCUGUGUAAACCAACAGUCAAAAUAUCUCUGUUCUCUGUGUUAUCCAGACUUCAGGGACAAUGUGUCUCUGUGGGAUGAUAUGAUUGCUCCUAAAACUGGAUAAAUAGCUUUCCUCACUUAUUCGAGCACACAUGUACACGGCGUAUGUGUGUUGCUGUCCUUCUGCAGAAGACUUGAAUAAAACUCACAGAAAGACA